CCAGACUCCUACGGGAGGCAGCAGUGGGGAAUAUUGGACAAUGGACCAAGAGUCUGAUCCAGCAAUUCUGUGUGCACGAUGAAGUUUUUCGGAAUGUAAAGUGCUUUCAGUUGGGAAGAAAAAAAUGACGGUACCAACAGAAGAAGUGACGGCUAAAUACGUGCCAGCAGCCGCGGUAAUACGUAUGUCACAAGCGUUAUCCGGAUUUAUUGGGCGUAAAGCGCGUCUAGGUGGUUAUAUAAGUCUGAUGUGAAAAUGCAGGGCUCAACUCUGUAUUGCGUUGGAAACUGUGUAACUAGAGUACUGGAGAGGUAAGCGGAACUACAAGUGUAGAGGUGAAAUUCGUAGAUAUUUGUAGGAAUGCCGAUGGGGAAGCCAGCUUACUGGACAGAUACUGACGCUGAAGCGCGAAAGCGUGGGUAGCAAACAGGAUUAGAUACCCUGGUAGUCCACGCCGUAAACGAUGAUUACUAGGUGUUGGGGGUCGAACCUCAGCGCCCAAGCAAACGCGAUAAGUAAUCCGCCUGGGGAGUACGUACGCAAGUAUGAAACUCAAAGGAAUUGACGGGGGCCCGCACAAG
rnacentral:rRNA from 1 species